AACGUGCAUGAUGUUGUCACAUUUUGUCAAACCCACAGGCCAAUCAGGAGAAGAGCGAUUCUGGCCCUGAGGAAUGGAAGCCCCCCCAUCCGUAAGUUCUAGAUUGAUUGUUUUCCACUGAAAAAAACCCCAGGCCGUUUCCUCCCCUUUCCCCUGGAAGUCAAAGAAUGAAAAACUAGCAUAGGGGCGGCGGCGGGGUCUGGGGCUGUAUGUUUGGUGUAUACGUUCAGAGCAGAAUAUAGAUACUCUCGUUUCUAUUUUCGCGAUUAUAUUGCAUUUUUCAUAUCUAAACUUACGCAAGAGAGGUUUUCAACGGGUGAACACACACCUCUUGUGACGUAUUGCGGAC
rnacentral:sRNA from 1 species